rnacentral:rRNA from 1 species
UUAGAUGCUCGGGGCCGCACGCGCGCUACACUGAAGGAAUCAGCGUGUGCUCUCCCGGUCCGGCAGGACUGGGUAACCCGCUGAACCUCCUUCGUGAUAGGGACAGGGGUUUGUAACUAUCCCCCUCGAACGAGGAAUGCCUAGUAGGCGCGAGUCAUCAACUCGCGUCGAUUCGGUCCCUGCCCUUUGUACACACCGCCCGUCGCUACUACCGAUUGAACGAUUUAGUGAGGUCUUCGGACUGGCGCCCGAGCUUUGUUUUCGGACGAGGUCGCGGUGCCGGAAAGAUGCCCGAACUUGACCGUUUAGAGGAAGUAAAAGUCGUAACAAGGUUUUC